rnacentral:lncRNA from 1 species
CAACAGCAAGCAGACAGUGGAAAAGGGCAUUGGCAUGAGCAGAAAUCUCAUUAGUCUCAUUAGAACCCUAUUAGUCUGGGUGCCUGGGAUGGUUUCCCUGCUGGCCAGCAGCUUGAGCAUGCAUGGAAGAGACCUGCCUGCUGGACGGCGUGAAGGAAGGGAAGAGUCCUCCACCCAAAAGCUGCUAACUCCUAUUCUGCAGAUGUACAGUGUGUGAGGGGGAGGGGGAAUAAGUAUGUAGCUGCAUGGCUUUUGCAUGUGACGUGGAGGUGUGUAGGCUAGAAAGGACAAGGGUGCUGGGAGAGGGGGUGCAUUGCACCCACUGCUGAGAGGCAGUUUGCAUUUCACCGCGCACCAGAAAGUUUGGUGCAUUCAUUUUGAAAACAGCCCGAUCGCCAGGACUGCUUCAGAACAGGGCGUGGGGAAUACAAAAGGGUUGCAGGCACAAAGGUAAGCAGAAUAGAUAAUAGGAGCAUAAAGAUACUGUGGCAAGAGGGACAUUGAUCUGAAUAUGUGGUAUGGUGAAGCUGAGCGAGGCAUCAGGUUUUUCAGCCCAGCUACCCAGCAGCUUGUGAGGCUCUGGGUGCUCAUGGUCUGGAGGCCGAAGCAGGCAGCCCUGGCACUCAGGACCCCUGGGCUCGGUGCUGGGUGCUUUCUCCUCCACCUGUGUCAUUAGAGUAUGAAAUGGGAAUGAGAGCAGAGCCACUUUUGAAAGCAAGUCGGAGGCGUGCAGCUCUGAGCAAUGCACAAAGGCAGCUCUCCGCUUGCCCUGCCUGGCGACUGUUUUCCGCCCUGAAGGGUGCCGGGAUCUCCAAGGUACCUGUUGACUCAGAGUUUCUCCUAGGUUGCCUGGCACAGAAGUGAGAUAAACUGGUUUGUACAUCUGAAACCGGUGCCAUUUUAAGCAGCUGGACACUUUUUGUUUUAUAUGUGUUAAUUUGGGUAUGUGGAAGCUGUAAAUCUUUUCCUCCUGACAGGAGGAUACUGCUGCCUUAGUAAAGCUUUAUCCAAGCCAGCUUUACAGUAGCCUGUGUGCGGGUGGGAAAGAUAGUUGGUGGGAAAUUGGAACUUCAGGCUUUUCUUUAAGGUGCNNNNNNNNNNNNNNNNNNNNNNAGUUGAUAGUUCUCUUGACAACUUGACCCCACAAGUCUGGGCCUGAAGUAUCCUUUGAGCAGCUGUGCUGAAGGCUGGGGUGGGGGGCACCUCUCCCCGGUGCU